ACCUUGUCUUCCCCAAAGCCUUGCAAGAGAACCAAAAGAAAACACAGUGGUGAAGGAGGUAGUGGCUGACUUGGGAAGAAGGAGGAAUCCCAACAAGAAGAAGAAGUUUACAAAGGUGGGCCCAGCGUUUGAGAGAUGAUCGGGUUAGACUAGU